UACGGGGGGGGUAAGCGUUGUUCGGAAUUACUGGGCGUAAAGGGCUCGUAGGCGGCCAACUAAGUCGGACGUGAAAUCCCUCAGCUUAACUGGGGAACUGCGUCCGAUACUGGAUGGCUUGGAUUUGGGAGAGGGAUGCGGAAUUCCAGGUGUAGCGGUGAAAUGCGUAGAUAUCAGGAGGAACACCGGUGGCGAAGGCGGCUUCCUGGACAAUUACUGACGCUGAGACGCGAAAGCGUGGGGAGCAAACAGG
rnacentral:rRNA from 1 species